rnacentral:rRNA from 1 species
CCUACGGGAGGCAGCAGUGGGGGAUAUUGCUCAAUGGGGGGAACCCUGAUGCAGCGACGCCGCGUGGGUGAAGAAGCGCCUCGGCGCGUAAAGCCCUUUCUGCAGGGAAGCAAAUGCUGGUACCUGUAGAAGAAGCCCCGUGUAACAACUGGCAGGCUGCCGUGGGAACACGCCGGGGGCAAGCGUUAUACGGAUUUACUGGGUGUUAAGGGGGCUCAGUCGGCGAUGCAAGCCAGGAGGGAAAGGCCGGGGCCCAACCCCGGGACUGCUGUUGGAACUGGGUGGCUGGAGUGCAGGAGGGGCAGGCGGAAUGCGUGGUGUAGCGGUGAAAUGCAUAGAUAUCAGGAGGAACACCGGUGGCGAAGGCAGCCUGCUGGACUGCAACUGACGUUGAGGCCCGAAAGCGUGGGUAGCGAACAGGAUUAGAUACCCCAGUAGUC